rnacentral:rRNA from 1 species
GUAGCAGAAUCUUUCGCUUUAAAGGUCGGGGCCCCGUCUGCCGGAAGACCUGCUCGCAAGGUUGACCUCGGAUCAGGCAGGGAUACCCGCUGAACUUAAGCAUAUCAAUAAGCGGAGGAAAAGAAACCAACAGGGAUUGCCUCAGUAACGGCGAGUGAAGCGGCAACAGCUCAAAUUUGAAAUCUGGCUCUUUCAGGGUCCGAGUUGUAAUUUGUAGAGGAUGCUUCGGCGUGGGUUCCGGUCUAAGUUCCUUGGAACAGGACGUCAUAGAGGGUGAGAAUCCCGUAUGUGAUCGGUUGCCUUUGCCAUGUGAAGCUCCUUCGACGAGUCGAGUUGUUUGGGAAUGCAGCUCUAAAUGGGAGGUAAAUUUCUUCUAAAGCUAAAUACUGGCCAGAGACCGAUAGCGCACAAGUAGAGUGAUCGAAAGAUGAAAAGCACUUUGGAAAGAGAGUCAAAAAGUACGUGAAAUUGUUGAAAGGGAAGCGCUUGCAACCAGACCUGCCUGCAGUUGCUCAUCCGGGCUUUUGCCCGGUGCACUCUUCUGCUGUCAGGCCAGCAUCGGUUCGGGCGGUCGGAUAAAGGCUUCGGGAAUGUAGCUCCUCUCGAGGAGUGUUAUAGCCCGUUGCGAAAUGCGGCCAGCCUGAACUGAGGUCCGCGCUUCGGCUAGGAUGCUGGCGUAAUGGUUGUAAGCGGCC